rnacentral:rRNA from 1 species
GUAAGGAAUAUUGGUCAAUGGACGAAAGUCUGAACCAGCCAUGCCGCGUGGAGGAUGAAGGUCCUCUGGAUUGUAAACUUCUUUUAUAUGGGACGAAAAUGGGGCUUUCUAGCUCAACUGACGGUACCAUAUGAAUAAGCACCGGCUAACUCCGUGCCAGCAGCCGCGGUAAUACGGAGGGUGCAAGCGUUAUCCGGAUUCACUGGUUUUAAAGGGUGCGUAGGUGGAUUGGUAAGUCAGAGGUGAAAUCUCCGGGCUCAACUCGGAAACUGCCUUUGAUACUAUCAAUCUUGAAUAUUGUGGAGGUUAGCUGAAUAUGUCAUGUAGCGGUGAAAUGCUUAGAUAUGACAUAGAACACCAAUUGCGAAGGCAGCUGGCUACACAUAUAUUGACACUGAGGCACGAAAGCGUGGGGAUCAAACAGGAUUAGAAACCCUAGUAGUCC